rnacentral:piRNA from 1 species
UGGACUUUGAAACCCCUUCCUCCUCCCUGGC